AUUUUUAUUCACUAGAUGGCGGUUACGGAUGGUAGACGACAAGACAUUUCUUGUAAUGAGGUGAAAAAUAAAUAAUGAUUGGCUUUUUUUCACUCUUUUGCUUUGUUCUCAUCUUCUGACGAUUUAUUGUAAUUAAAACAGAUUUGUGGUCUUGUAAUUGUUCAUGUAUGUUUCAAUUUUGUGUUUAAUUGUGUCUCUUCAUCUAUUCACUGUGGUCUUUGUCUUUUUGUUUCAUCUUUUGCCGUUAUUCUGUGGGUUUAAUUGAAUGCUGGUUUUACUCUUUAUUUUAAAAGGUUCAAUUUCAAUAGUGAUCAAGUGAACAAACCUUUUUUUGUAGGCAAUUGUGUUUUAAAAUAAGUGACAUGAUGAUGACUAAAUCAUGUGGUGAUGAUAAUAAAGUCUAGAGCUGUUGAUAUCUGAAGACGAAAUGGUUACAGUGCGAAAAAAGGGAAGCAAAUCAAGAUAUUGCUACAUCAAUGAGGAGAAAAGAUUAUCUAACUUCUCCUCAAAUAUCUUCAUCUUCCCUCUCUCUCUUUUUAGCUUGCUUUCAUCUCAUCUUCUCUUUCUUUUGUCUUCCCUGAGUGCAAGUGAGUGAGAGUGAGUGUGUGUGUAUGUAUGCUUGUAUACAUUACAGAGGAGUAAAGAAGAGAAUAACUUUUGAAAUGAACAGUUAAGUGAGGCUUGUUUUGGUUGUAUUAUUUUGUGCUUGGUUGAAGUCAAAAGGCUUGUCAAAAUAUUGGAAUGAAACAGGCUUUUCAGAGUGGUAAGGGGAGGAGGUGAAGGUUACAAGGUAACGGUAGUUGUUGAAAGGUUGCUGGUUUUUUUUGUGUUAAAAAACAGCAAAAAAGAUCAGCCUCUUUCAUCUUCUUUUUUUUACAGCCUUCCUUGGGCUAAAGAAAGGGAGAAGAGAAGAAGCAGGAAAAUAAAAAAGCGGGAAAGUGAAAAAAUGGAUCAACAGUCUCAUGAGGGACAACAUAUUGAUCAAGGUUUACGCCAAAAAUUUUACGCCCAGUUCAACAAAUUCAAUCGUUUUCACUUGAUAAUAUGAGCGAUGUAAAGACAAAAUAUUCAAUGCUAAUUUAUAUCAUUUCAGUUUCACCUGUCGGACAAAUUCAAUUGAUAAAAUCUGCUGUUAACAAGUGAAGAGACGAAAGCAUAAUGUGUCUGAUAAUCAAACUAUUAUUUACAUGCAUGCGUAUCUAAGGUCAUCAUGAACAAUCUGAAUGUCUGAAUUGAUUAUUAUGCAACUUUUUGCUUUUGAUUCACACCAAACUUGGAUGUGUCAACCUGAUGAAGGAUGAAGCAAAAUCAAAACAAAAAAAGACGAUUCUUCAACAAUCAAUAGGAACUUAUUGUUACUCUCUUUAAUUUGAUCAGUUGGAAUGAUAUAUAUUCAUGUAUAUUUAAGUGUAAAAAUUGAAUAGGAAUAUCUUUACUCAUUGCCCGUCAAACCAUCAAUCAGUCAUUAUUCACCUUGAUUGAUGUGUAUUUACCGUUUGUUUGUUUGAUGGUUUGAUGUUCAAUUGUGAGUAGUUGACAGGUAAAAACAAGAAAUAUAAAGAAAGAAGAGUGUUUACCUAUUGUUUGAUUGGAAUGACGGGUUAUUAUUAUUUCUAUUAUUAUUAUUAUCAUUAUUAUGGUUACACAUAAGAGAAAGGUAAGAACGAAAACGAAGACAUUGUCGAUAGUAAAUAUGAUAAAAAAAGUUAUCAUUAAGCUUUAUUCUCAGCUGUCUGUUGGUUAUUAUUUUGAUUGAUUGCAAUUUAUCAAGUAAAUGAAAAUAUCAAUUUGUGCUUGAAUCAACAUGAAAUGUUUCAUUCGGAGUCAAGGAGACAGGAAACAGAGAAGAAGAGAUAAAAGAUGAUCAAGAAACAAGCAAGACCUAUGAAGAGGAAGAUGCUGGUGAAGGAGGUUGGGGGAGUUGGAAAAACAUGAUGAUAUGGAAUCUAUGGAAUCAUUGACAUGGAACUAAAUGAAGAGAAUCUAUUUAAAGUAAACAAAACGAGCAAAAAAGGAACGAACAGAAAGUUAAAAAAGAAACAUUCGCCAGGAGAAAGAAAAAAAAGGAAAACAUUCUUCGACUUGUGAUGAUUUAAUGAUUUUCUUAUCAUCCUCUUACCUUUCCUCUUCGCUCUCACUCACAUACUUUUCAAUGUUCAAUAUCUUCAGAAGCUGAUCUAGCUUAUUUGUCUUGCUACUUAUCGCUACUUUUAUUGUCCUCUUGCACUCACUCACUCACUAUUUGUCAUCAUCAUCAGCAUCUUUUCAUUUUUGAUGAUAAACUUAUUCCGGACAUGGAAUCGAUUUUUAUCACUCAUAUUUCAUCCAUAUUAGGCUCAAGAAAUGAUAUCAAAGUAUGAUAAUGGUGAAGAUUAUGGUGUGAUAAGGUGAUGAACAUGAUUCUCAUCUUCGUCAUCUUCAUCACCGCCAUCACCAUGCCUGAUGAUGAAGAUGAUGAUGACAUUUCUCUUUUACUAGCAACUCAAAGUGAUUUGCAAAUGACAGGGCGUCAAGCUAGGAAAAGGAAAGAGUUGUCACUAGGAAAAAAAGAUGAGGAAAGUAAAAGUUUUGAUACUGAUGAUGAUCCUGAUGGUGAUAGUUGAUGAUGGUUGAUGAGAAUGAGAAUGUAAAUGACGAUAAAAGUAGAUGAUAUUAAUGAUGAUUACGAAUUUUGUUAUUGUUGUGUUAAAGCGAAGAAGAAAAAAAAGCGAAUGUAUAUUUCAAUGGAUCCCAAGAGGAAUUGUUUCGUUUCUUUCGCCAAUUUAAGUGUGCCUUUCAUUCAUUUAGCAUUGACCCAAAGCAGUUUAAAGCUUCUCAAAGAAGCUCAAGCUGAAAAUGAAAAUGAAGAUCAUCAACAUCAUCAUCAUCAUCAAGAUCUUCUCACUGACACAAAAAAAGAAAGAGAAUGAGAGAAAGAAUGAAAACUCCCUCGGGCCUAGUAACCAGAGUCUUUCUGUUUCUCUGUCUUUUUCGUCUUGUUGUUACGCUGUUUUCCCCAUUAGAAGUAAAAUUGAUGAAUUGACCAUCAAUUGGAUUGCAUUUGGAAAGAAAAGGAAAAGUUGUUUUCUGGUUUCAUUGGACUUUUUCAGGACCAUCAACAUCAUCAAGACCCAUUCUGCUCACUUCCAAAAUUUGGUUGGACACAUAAAUCAACUCGAUUCUCUCUCACUCUUACCACCCUCAUCUUAUGAGUCCUCCUAAAAAUCUCCAUCAAUCAAUUGUCAAACAACAUCCACUGACUUUUCUUCCUUUUCUCUUCCUUCUUCUCUCUCAUCUUCUGUGAUAUAUAAUUAGACUCUUUCUUACAGAAUAUUAUCAUCAUAAUCAUCAUCAAGAUGAGAAGGUAAUCAAUGGUUGCCAAAAUCUCUCUCAAUCUUGCCAAUAUCAUUACAUCUUCUUAUCCACUUUGCCUUCAAUAUGUAUUGAUUACAGUAUUAACCACACGGAUUAGAUGGCAAAUAAACAAAUAAAAUGUUUAACCUAUUGGCCUUUUUUAAA